rnacentral:rRNA from 1 species
GACGAACGCUGGCGGCGUGCUUAACACAUGCAAGUCGAACGGUGAAGCGCCUUCCUUUUUGGUGGGUGUGGAUGAGUGGCGAACGGGUGAGUAACACGUGAGUAACCUGCCCCCUUCUUCUGGAUAACCGCAUGAAAGUGUGGCUAAUACGGGAUAUUCUGGGUCUGUCGCAUGAUGGGUCUGGGAAAGAUAUUGUUUCGGUGGGGGAUGGGCUCGCGGCCUAUCAGCUUGUUGGUGGGGUGAUGGCUUACCAAGGCGGUGACGGGUAGCCGGCCUGAGAGGGUCGACGGUCACACUGGGACGGAGACACGGCCCAGACUCCUACGGGAGGCAGCAGUGGGGAAUAUGGCACAGUGGGCGGAAGCCUGAUGCAGCGACGCCACGGGAGGGAUGGAGGCCUGCGGGUUGUGAACCUCUUUCGCCAGUGAAGCAGGCCUGCCUCGUUUGUGGGUGGGUUGACGGUAGCUGGAUAAGAAGCGCCGGCUAACUACGUG